AGGGCACAAUGCAUGUGCGUUAAGAGUCCUCCCAUAUUAGCCAGUGAAGUCCGCUCAGGGCACAAUGCAUGUGCGUUAAGUGUCCUCCCAUAUUAGCCAGUGAAGUCCGCUCAGGGCACAAUGCAUGUGCGUUAAGUGUCCUCCCAUAUUAGCCGGUGAAGUCCGCUCAGGGCACAAUGCAUGUGCGUUAAGUGUCCUCCCAUAUUAGCCGGUGAAGUCCGCUCAGGGCACAAUGCAUGUGCGUUAAGUGUCCUCCCAUAUUAGCCGGUGAAGUCCGCUCAGGGCACAAUGCAUGUGCGUUAAGUGUCCUCCCAUAUUAGCCAGUGAAGUCCGCUCAGGGCACAAUGCAUGUGCGUUAAGUGUCCUCCCAUAUUAGCCAGUGAAGUCCGCUCAGGGCACAAUGCAUGUGCGUUAAGUGUCCUCCCAUAUUAGCCGGUGAAGUCCGCUCAGGCUAAUCAGGGACAACACUUUCUGCUUUCAUGAUUUUUUUUGUUGAAAUAAGGUCUGUUCUUAGUUUAGGCUGAAAGUGUCACCUCUAAUUAGCCUGCGCAAACUUCAUAGUCUUAUCCAGGACAACACUUUAUGUACAUGCAUUAAACUCCCUUUCCAAAGAGCAAGGCUCUUUUCAUUUUCGAGUUGGAUAUUUAAACACCAUUCAAAAGCCUUAGACUUAAAACCACUCUUGAGUCUUUUUGCAUUAAAAAUUUGGUACUUGCUGUCUUAGGAAUCUUUGAAUAAGUUUUUUUGCUAUGUUAAAUAUUCUGGUUAUUAAGUUUGCGUACAAUAGGUGUGCCCAAUUGGUUUAAUUACAAGAAUUGUGUUAUAAACAAGAACUUACAAGAAUACUAUCAUAUUCCCACAGUAAACAACGCUAAAUUUAAUUUGCUUAUGAAUCUAAAACAAUUUUGUGUAUGUGUGUAAUAAAUCACUUGUAUGCUUUCAGCGUAUUAAUAAGAUCUUUAUGAAUACAAAUGUAUAUACUUAUUUUUUGCUAAAUAUCAAAACUUCAUUGAUGCUGUUUAGGGACAGCACAUAAAAUUAAAUAUUUAUUUUAAAAAUGAAUGGCCUU